ACGGUACUAUUGGGUUUGUUAAAAUUUUGUGACUAUAAAGAUAACAGGUGUGAAUGAAAAAUAUCAGAUGAAAAUAGCUCGAUCGACAUCUGCGAGGUU